rnacentral:rRNA from 1 species
AUGGAUAGUGCCGGCUACAACUGCCUCUCGUUUCUUUCUGGGAAUGUUCAAGGUCUCGGUGACAAGGACAAGUGCUCGCUUGUCCGUGGAGCCGUGACCGCUGCCAACCCCUCCGUUGCAUGCAUCCAGGAAACGAAACUCGCCUCGCUCUCCUUGGGCAAAGACCGCUCGUUCCUCUCUGCCCGCCUCUCGUCUCUCAAACAUCUGGACACGGACGGCUCACGUGGCGGGGUGGUCACUGCUUGGGACCCCGCCACGCUCCAUCUUGUCUCCUGCCACUCUGGCAGGUACACUCUCACCACCGAACUAUCCUCCACCUCCUCCGAUCUCGCCUUCUCAGUCACGAACGUUUACGCCCCAUCUGAUCAUGCAUUCACGCAAGAUUUUGUGGACGAGAUGUUGGCGCUCUCGGACACAAUCUCGGGGCCCCUUGUGCUUGGCGACUUCAACCUUAUCAGAUACCCCGAGGAGAAAAACAAUGACAAUUUCUGUGCGUCUCUUGCAUCGAGAUUCAAUGCCAUGAUCGAUGCCCUCUUGUGGGUUGAUCUCCCCCUCUCUGAUCGCUUGUACACGUGGACUAAUCGUCGCACUCUGCCCACCCUGGCGUGCCUCGAGCGUGCAUUUUUCAACGCUGAUUGGGACAUGGCUCUCCCCAACUCCACUCUCGCCUCCCGCCCCCGCAUCACUUCUGAUCAUGUUCCGCUUCUUGUCACCGCCUCUACCCACAUCCCCGCCCCCCGUCAAUUCCGUUUCGAGAAUAAAUGGCUCCUACACCCCUUGUUCCUUCCCUCCACUUCCCCAUCCUGGGCUCUCCCAUGCAGGACCGGGGACGGUGCUAAAGACAUUGCUGCUAAAGUCAAAUCCUUCCGUCGUGCUGCAAAGGUUUGGAAGGCAACUCACCGGUUUGUCCCUCGUCAUGAUAAUAACUGCAGAUUUCUUAUUGAUCUGUUUGACUUUUUUGAGGAACACCGUGUGCUUUUAGUGGAGGAAGCUGCCUUGCGGCUUGACGCCCAUGUUGCCUUGGCCUUCUCGGUUCGUCAGCAAGCUGCAUUCUGGCGGCAACGGGGGAAGUUUCGCCGGGUGGGCGAGGGUGACGAAAACACCCGCUUCUUCCAUGCCCAGGCAUCCCAGCGCUUCCGGUCAAACCGGAUUAAAGCGCUGGAUGUCGGGGGCACGGUCGUCGUCGGCCAUGUGGCCAAGGCAGAGGCCAUCCACGCCUUCUACUCCGCCCUUCUUGGCCGGGCUGGGGUCCCCGUCUGGCGCUUUGACCUGCACGCGCUCUAUGAGAGGGUGGCCGCUGUUGACGGUGCCAAGCUCGUCGCCCCCUUUGAGAUGGCCGAGGUCAAGGCGGCCGUUGCCAGCCUCAAUAGGACCAGUGCCCCGGGCCCUGAUGGCCUUGGUCCUGGCUUCUACCAGGCCACCUGGGAGAUGGUCUCCAGCGAUGUGAUGCGGUUGAUGGAGGGGUUCUUCGACAACUCUGUGAACCUCUCCUGUAUCAACCGCACCCUUGUGGUUCUCCUCCCCAAGGCCGAGGGGGUGCUUGCGCCCGAUGGUUUCCGACCCAUCUCCCUCCAGAACUAUGAUGUCAAGAUCCCGUGCAAGGUUCUGACCACGCACCUUCAACAACAAAUCUCGGAUGUGGUGGAUGUGGACAAGUCCGGGUUCAUCAAAGGGCGGAGCAUCGCUGAGAACUUUGUGUACGCAACAGAAAUUGUCCAAUGCUGCGAGACCCAUCAGGCUCCCUCGCUGGUCCUGAAGCUAGACUUCGCCAAAGCCUUCGACUCCAUCGACCGGAGAAGCCUUCGCCGAAUUAUGGAGGUGCGUGGCUUCCCACCUCUCUGGUGUGACUGGAUGGACUCGAUAUUCCAGUCCUCCAUGUCUUUUGUGGUCCUCAAUGGCGUGCCCGGGCGAUGGAUCAAAUGCAAGAAGGGGUUGCGGCAGGGGGACCCCCUCUCCCCCUACCUAUUCCUUCUUGUUGCGGAUGUGCUCCAACAGAUGGUCAAUAGAGAUGGUGGGAUGCGUCAACCCGUGUUUGACGAUGCGCCACCGCUCAUCCUCUAG